AUAUUUCCCUGCCAGGAGAGAUGCCGUGGUCAUGCUGAUGAUCUCAGGAUGAAGGAGGCUAGUUUAUUGCACUCUGGAUGUGCAGACCCUUGUGACUCCCCAGAGUGGAGGAAACCUGAUAUGCAAUUUGUGGUAGUGGGGGGAUUGUGUUUAUGUGCCCCUG
rnacentral:snRNA from 1 species